ensembl:lncRNA
UACUACUACUACUACUACUACUACUACUAAUAAUAAUAAUCUUAGAGAAUAAUGACAAUAAUCUUAGAGAAUCCAAAUCAGUGUGCAUCUGUUUUUGGCAGUUCAUUCAGACUCCAGAUUCUGUAGCUUUGCUGAGAGACGCUGUAUUUUGGCUGCAUUCUCUGAGCUGAGCUGCUCAAAAUGGCGUUGUGAGCACAAUGAAGGAUAUGAACAAUAAAGCGGCGGCCAUUAUUGAACGCUUUCGUUCAUGCAGAGAGAAAGAGACUGAAUUGGUCAGUCCUCAGUUGUGUGUCACGACUUUAAGUGAACAUUUUAACAUAAACUAAGGUCUUGUCAAAUCAUAAUGAUUCUUUUUGACAUUAUAAUCAAUACUAGACACCUUAUGUAAUACUUGGACCUGUCCCAAUUCAACAUAUUGUUACACAAAGAGUAAGUUAGACUGACCUGACAUGAACUAUACAGCAAUAAUAAUAAUAAUAAUAAUAAUAAUAAUAAUAUGUAGCCUACUUUAUUUUCAAAGUCGAAUUGUCUGAAUGUUUUGCUGUAUCUUUGCUGAAGUGUACUAAUUUUUCUUUAAAAAAACAUAAAUCAUAAAAAACCCCCAUAAAAAUCCAUAUUUACUGAAUGGGUCAAGACCAUUCUGGUGAUGAAAUUAAAAGGUGCAUGUUUAUGCAUGCAUGUGUGUGCAGACUGAGAUUGAGCUCCACAAUCAACACUUGGGAAACUUAGCUAGACUGAGUGUGUGUGUGUGUGUGUGGGUGUGUGUGAGAGAGAGAGCGUGUGUGUGUAUCAGACAAAUCAUCAAUACACAUGUACUUUUGUCUAUGUUUAUAUAACUAAAAACAAAUGAAAGGAUAUAACUCAAUGAGAUAUUGGGAGAAUAAGAAUGAAGAAAUGUCUCUAGUGUUUCAAAUGGUUUGAUGAAGAAGAUUAGACUUUCAGACAAAUGUAUGUAUACCUGACCAAAGGCAUACAGAGACAGAUGUACCUACAGAAAAACUGGCACACUGAAAGAUAGAUAGAUAGAUAGAUAGAUAGAUAGAUAGAUAGAUAGACAGAUAGAUAGAUAGAUGUUUACACUUACACAAUCAUUUGAGUUAUAGUGCUAUGUCCUAUAUAGCUGUCUGAACUUUGUUUGAUGUACUGCCAACUUCCACAGGUCUAUGAGUGGCAGGCAUUUUCUGUUUCACUUUGCCAUAAUCUGUUUAAACUUGUUUAUUUAUUUUCAAGUGUACAGGUUUUCACAGUGCUUCCUCUUCUGGAAAGAGUCUAAGUUAAGCAGAGGUGAGUGGGAAGAAGAUUUUCUCAUUAAGGGAAAAUAGAUAGCAGUGCAAAAAAAUGACACAAAUUGCUAAAAUAUUUGUGUUGUACUUGUAAUAUUCAAGAUAUUCUCCUAUUUUAAAAGAAAAGUAUCAAUACCAAUACCAAUAUUUAAAUAUUUCCAUCAACAUAACAUAUAUUAUUGAAUCUAUCUUAAGAAGUGCUAAUAUAAUUGAUGGCCAAUUAUUAAAAAUAACAAAAAAACAUUUGAAAUAUGUAACAGAAAUGAUAGACUCCAACAUUUUGUCAAUGCGAAUAUGGAUUAAAAAACUCCGAUGAUCCAUCAUGAGUCUUAUACUCUAAAUUAAUCUGAUAGCAGUUGGUUUACUAUAGCCGGGAAGCUGUGCCACACCAGGGCUCUGCUUCCACCCACCCACAAAUGAAAGACUCCAAUGCCUCCAAAACUACAAAGCUGUUGAGAAGACACUUAAGACAGAGCAAUAGCCAUAUCAAUCUUUGCAAUGUAUUCUCUCAUGGUGAAACUGGUAUCACAAAUAUAUUGUGACACUCUCAAAAAGUACAAUAUGCCUACAUUUGGUAUCUCGUUAUAUUGUUCAGCAACUAUUAUGAAACUAAUAGGAAAGCUAUUUAGUUGCAUGACUGGUGAAUGUAAUCCAGUGGCUUUAAAGGGUAACAUGUCUUUGAAAUACUUUUGUAAAGGGAUUGGAGUCUUCCAAAAAAAGUGUAGCCAUGCCUAUUAUUAACAUUUAUGUGAAAUUCCAGCUGCUUUGCAGUCAGGGCUGUGUACUUAUCAAUGAAUGGACCAGGUAAAAUAACACUGCAUGGUAUUUUGCUUAUACACACUUAUCUGCCUGUUUAGUAUGUUGGAAUGGAAGUUAUGCCAAUAGGGUUAAAGCAAUUUUCCAUCCACUAAAAACAAAAAAAAGGAUAAUCUAAUCUGAGAGAGCCUAUCUAAUUCCACUUUCCUGUAAAACAGCACCUGUAUAUGGUAAAAUCGUUGUUAAUGGAAUACAGUCUAUCACGUGAUCCCCUAAAAGCUUGAAACCGAGUCAGCAUUGAAACCCAUUGUGUAAAAAUAUCCAGGACCUGUGAGAUGCAUCCUUAAAAAUACAGCUUAGAAUGAGUUGUACUGGUAUAGCUGUUUUGCUACAGUUUUGAGGUAAGUAUUUUUUCAUGUUUGUAGUUAUAAAAUCUGUCCUUAUUAUUCUCUUUUGCACUAUUCUUAUUUCAUCAUAUAUUUAAUAAAUUGUAAUGAUGCCCAUUAAAAAUUCCUUGUAAAUUUACAUUAAAUAACUGCCAACAGAGUUGCUAAAUGGUUACUGUAAUAUUCAUAUCAUUCUUACUCUGUUUCUUUGCACUAAUGGGAAAUUGUGCAUAGAUGUGCAAAAUUGUAUUUUUACAGGAUUACACAUUGAAUAGUAUCUUACAAUAAAAAAACAAACUCCACUACAGUUUAAUAGUUAUCAUGCUGUUUUAAUUCUAGAAAGGGUGAACAAAUGAAUCUAUUUACAAUGUUUUAUUAAAGAAGUCAUUUUAGUUCACACAAACAUUAUGUGAAUGUAUCAAAUAAUAGCACAACAAUAUCUCGUUAAGAUUGAACAAUUAAAUUAAACAAUAAGAAACCACUAAAUAAAAAAAGAACUGCUAACAUGAAAGACCUUGAGACCUGAAUACUGCAGAAAAAAAUUAAGAAGACAGAAAGCUACAUGGGUUAACUACGAAAACAACAGCAACAACAACAACAACAAUAACAACAAAAUAGCUAGCAAAUGUUAGCUACAUAGCUAUGCUAACAUUACCAUAGCAUUUUCUGGCUUUCCAUCUAGCUUAAACUUGUGGCACUUACCUUGCUUCACUAAAAUAACUUAAGCUAUGUAUUUAAUCAGUAAUUAGGAUAAAAAGCAAUGGAAAAGAUAAUAAU